UCUCUGGUAGUAUAUUGGUUAGUACAUGUGCAUGUCAUAAAGCCAAGUGUUUCGUGAGACAGCUGGGUUCGACUCCCAGCAAGAGAA
rnacentral:tRNA from 1 species